GGCACAAACUUGAAGUAGAAUAGUUGGGUAUGGACAGCUGAUCCUAUUAAUCUACUCUGCUUCAAGUUUGUGCUC
rfam:Haemonchus contortus, ISE/inbred ISE, WGS project CAVP01000000 data, contig: Hcontortus_38720